rnacentral:rRNA from 1 species
GAUGAACGCUGGCGGCGUGCCUAACACAUGCAAGUCGAACGAAGCUUGACGGAUGAUUUCUUCGGAAUGAAACCAGAUAUGACUUAGUGGCGGACGGGUGAGUAACACGUGAGCAACCUGCCUUUCAGAGGGGGAUAACGGCUGGAAACGGUCGCUAAUACCGCAUGAUGUGUUCGGAUGGCAUCAUCUGAACAUCAAAGAUUUAUCGCUGAAAGAUGGGCUCGCGUCUGAUUAGAUAGUUGGUGGGGUAACGGCCUACCAAGUCUACGAUCAGUAGCCGGACUGAGCGGUUGAACGGCCACAUUGGGACUGAGAUACGGCCCAGACUCCUACGGGAGGCAGCAGUGGGGAAUAUUGCACAAUGGGGGAAACCCUGAUGCAGCAACGCCGCGUGAAGGAUGACGGUUUUCGGAUUGUAAACUUCUUUUCUUAGUGACGAAGACAGUGACGGUAGCUAAGGAAUAAGCAUCGGCUAACUACGUG